GUCCACGCCGUAAACGAUGUCUACUAGUUGUCGGUUGUCUUGUACGACGGGUAACGCAGCUAACGCGAUAAGUAGACCGCCUGGGGAGUACGGCCGCAAGGUUAAAACUCAAAUGAAUUGACGGGGGCCCGCACAAGCGGUGGAGCAUGUGGUUUAAUUCGAAGCAACGCGAAGAACCUUACCUGGCCUUGACAUCCUGCGAAUCUCUUGGAGACAAGAGAGUGCCUUCGGGAACGCAGAGACAGGUGCUGCAUGGCG
rnacentral:rRNA from 1 species